AAUCUGACCACCCUCUGAUGCAGCACCUGUCCCUGACCCCCAGCUGCCCCUCUCCUGACACUGCUUAGUGCUGCUCCUCCACUCCCUGUGAGGAGCUGCAGCUGCUAUGAGGCCUCCCCUCAGCUCCUCUGUUGUGUAUUUCCAGUCAUCCAUGGAUGUUGUCCUGUGCAUGACAAUACAAAUGCAGGAGAAUGAUGACAAGCUUGUAUUUUUGGAUCAGCUUCCAAGAUAUCCCAACACUUUGUGCUUGAGGCUUACUGGAGAAUGCUCAUCCACAGCAGGGCAGAUGAUCUUUGUUAAAGCACAGCUGUGGAUAGAUUCGGGAUUCAGAGCUUGAAGCUUGCAGUUCUUGAGGGCUAAGGCUUUAAAUUUUAUCUCGUGAGACAGCGUGUGAGCUGAACAUCAAGCAGGAAACCAGGAUGACUGUGUUCUGG
rnacentral:lncRNA from 1 species